rnacentral:rRNA from 1 species
AUUGAACGCUGGCGGCAGGCCUAACACAUGCAAGUCGAGCGGAUGAAGGGAGCUUGCUCCUGGAUUCAGCGGCGGACGGGUGAGUAAUGCCUAGGAAUCUGCCUGGUAGUGGGGGAUAACGUCCGGAAACGGGCGCUAAUACCGCAUACGUCCUGAGGGGGAAAGUGGGGGAUCUUCGGACCUCACGCUAUCAGAUGAGCCUAGGUCGGAUUAGCUAGUUGGUGGGGUAAAGGCCUGCCAAGGCGACGAUCCGUAACUGGUCUGAGAGGAUGAUCAGUCACACUGGAACUGAGACACGGUCCAGACUCCUACGGGAGGCAGCAGUGGGGAAUAUUGGACAAUGGGCGAAAGCCUGAUCCAGCCAUGCCGCGUGUGUGAAGAAGGUCUUCGGAUUGUAAAGCACUUUAAGUUGGGAGGAAGGGCAGUAAGUUAAUACCUUGCUGUUUUGACGUUACCAACAGAAUAAGCACCGGCUAACUUCGUG